rnacentral:rRNA from 1 species
UUUAUGGAGAGUUUGAUCCUGGCUCAGGAUGAACGCUGGCGGCGUGCCUAAUACAUGCAAGUCGAGCGAACGGAUGAGAAGCUUGCUUCUCUGAUGUUAGCGGCGGACGGGUGAGUAACACGUGGAUAACCUACCUAUAAGACUGGGAUAACUUCGGGAAACCGGAGCUAAUACCGGAUAAUAUUUUGAACCGCAUGGUUCAAAAGUGAAAGACGGUCUUG